UUGCCUUUUGCCAAUAACUUCUCCACAGAGGGCUGAAGUAUCGAGGAAAGGAGAAGUACAGACGUGAAAAAAGGCAAAGAGAAUGAACGACAAUGACAAGUUCACAGAACAGAUUUGCAUGUUUAUUUUCUGUCUUCUUCCUCCAACAGAACCUAAAGCCUGUGAACGGGAACCUCCCCCGCCUCGUGCUACUACUAUAUCCCUGCGACCCAGCAGAAUGCCCUGUGAACGGUACGCCUCUGGUCGAUGACACAGCUUUGAAAAAGAGGAAAAACAGUCCCCCUCGUGUACUGCUGCUGUAGGAAGAGGAAGUGUAUUCGUUGAGAAUCACUGACAAAGACAGUACUGCCAAAGGAAAUUACAAAACAGCAUUUUGGCAACAUGGGCCAAGCAGAAGACGUAUUCCUCACACAGGACCAGAACUGGCCCUUUGUAUGCUGGGAAGGAACUGGAUGCAUUAAUCUAAAGAACGAGAACAUCAACAAGCAUCAUGUGGCAGGUGGGCCCUCAUCUUUCUACCCUGGGGAGAAGCUGCAAGAGCACACAUCUCACAUGAAAGAAGACGUCGUCUUUUGCAGAAUUAUCCUCCACAGCAGCAGAAGUCGUCAUACGCACAAGAUCCUGAGAAACAGCACAGAAACUCAUGGCUGCCUAAUGUAAUCAUAUCCUAAUCCCCUGGGAAAAGCAGGUGUGUGGGU